UACGGAGGGUGCGAGCGUUGUCCGGAAUCACUGGGCGUAAAGGGCGCGUAGGCGGCGCGGGUAGUCAACGGUGAAAGCUUGGGGCUCAACCCCGAGUCGGCCGUCGAUACUCCCGUGCUUGAGCACUGUAGAGGCAGGUGGAAUUCCGGGUGUAGCGGUGGAAUGCGUAGAGAUCCGGAAGAACACCGGUGGCGAAGGCGGCCUGCUGGGCAGUAGCUGACGCUGAGGAGCGAAAGCGUGGGGAGCGAACAGG
rnacentral:rRNA from 1 species